GGCAACGUCACUAGUCCGGGGCCGGCCCGGAGUGGAGAAGAGGGCCUCCCGGCUCCAAAAACCUGCUAAGAUAUAUGUCUCAUGAAGGCUAACCACUGUCCAUAUGCCCUAUAAGCCCAAUUGGGGACCCCUGUUUGGGAUUGCCAUCUAUUAGCCAGAGAAAAGAGCCACAGCAAAAAGGACCUCUCAUACCAGAGCGCUUGUCCAAGACACCAAUAAGAGACCGCCUGGCCAUGUAUCAAGAGCCUCCAUGUAACACUUAAUGCAUGGUCAACUGAAACUUCAAUGGUUUUUGAUGCAGACGCUGGAGGUUUGACAUAGUUCUGUGAAGCUGCUAAUCGACCUUUACAAAGGCCUUAGUAGUCUGUUUUGCUCCAUCAUGGACCCAAGGCACACGUCGUAAGUGACUGCACUGGGAUAAAGGUCUAAGAAGUGGAACUCCAAAAUCUCUUCUGUUUUCGCCACAUAUACACAGUGUAAGAGAACUGAAUGUGUCAUUUAACUCUGAGGCUAAA